GAUGAACGCUGGCGGCGUGCUUAACACAUGCAAGUCGAACGAUGAAGCCCAGCUUGCUGGGUGGAUUAGUGGCGAACGGGUGAGUAACACGUGAGUAACCUGCCCUUAACUCUGGGAUAAGCCUGGGAAACUGGGUCUAAUACCGGCUAGGAGCGUCCACCGCAUGGUGGGUGUUGGAAAGAUGUAUCGGAUUUGGAUGGACGCGCGGCCUAUCAGCUUGUUGGUGAGGUAAUGGCUCACCAAGGCGACGACGGGUAGCCGGCCUGAGAGGGUGACCGGCCACACUGGGACUGAGACACGACCCGGACUCCUACGGGAGGCAGCAGUGGGGAAUAUUGCACAAUGGGCGCAAGCCUGAUGCAGCGACUCCGCGUGAGGGAUGACGGCCUUCGGGUUGUAAACCUCUUUCAGUAGGGAAGAAGCGAAAGUGACGGUACCUGCAGAAGAAGCACCGGCUAACUACGUG
rnacentral:rRNA from 1 species